UACGUAGGGUGCAAGCGUUGCCCGGAUUUAUUGGGCGUAAAGAGCUCGUAGGCGGCUUGUCGCGUCGACUGUGAAAACCCGCGGCUCAACCGCGGGCCUGCAGCCGAUACGGGCAGGCUAGAGUUCGGUAGGGGAGACUGGAAUUCCUGGUGUAGCGGUGAAAUGCGCAGAUAUCGCUUGGAACGCCGAAGGUGAAAACAGGCUGCUGGGGUUGUGCCGACGCUGAGACACGAAAGCCAGGGGAGCAAACGGG
rnacentral:rRNA from 1 species